CACGUAGGGCGCAAGCGUUGUCCGGAAUUAUUGGGCGUAAAGAGCUCGUAGGUGUUUUGUUACGUCUGCUGUGAAAACCUAGGGCUUAACCCUGGGCUUGCAGUGGAUACGGGCAGACUAGAGGUAGGUAGGGGAGAAUGGAAUUCCUGGUGUAGCGGUGAAAUGCGCAGAUAUCAGGAGGAACACCGGUGGCGAAGGCGGUUCUCUGGGCCUUACCUGACACUGAGGAGCGAAAGCGUGGGGAGCGAACAGG
rnacentral:rRNA from 1 species